UACGGGGGGAGCAAGCGUUGUUCGGAUUUACUGGGCGUAAAGGGCGCGUAGGCGGCCACCGCAAGUCGACUGUGAAAUCUCCGGGCUUAACCCGGAAAGGUCAGCCGAUACUGCGGGGCUAGAGUGCAGAAGGGGCAACUGGAAUUCUCGGUGUAGCGGUGAAAUGCGUAGAUAUCGAGAGGAACACCUGCGGCGAAGGCGGGUUGCUGGGCUGACACUGACGCUGAUGUGCGAAAGCUAGGGGAGCGAAAGGG
rnacentral:rRNA from 1 species